AAAAACAUCGCCUCUUGCAAAACUGAGGAAUAAGAGGUCCCGCCUGCCCUGUGACUAUAUGUUUAACGGCCGCGGUAUUUUGACCGUGCGAAGGUAGCGCAAUCACUUGUCUUUUAAAUGGAGACCUGUAUGAAUGGCAUAACGAGGGCUUAGCUGUCUCCUUUUUCAAGUCAAUGAAAUUGAUCUCCCCGUGCAGAAGCGGGGAUAACACCAUAAGACGAGAAGACCCUAUGGAGCUUUAGACACCAAGGCAGAUCAUGUUAAACACCCCUUCACAAAGGACUAAACCAGAUGAACCCUGCCCUAAUGUCUUUGGUUGGGGCGACCGCGGGGAAACAAAAAACCCCCAUGUGGAAUGGGAACACUCCUUCCUACAACUAAGAGCUCCCGCUCUAAUGACCAGAACUUCUGACCAAUCAGAUCCGGCAACGCCGAUCAACGAACCGAGUUACCCUAGGGAUAACAGCGCAAUCCCCUUUUAGAGCCCAUAUCGACAAGGGGGUUUACGACCUCGAUGUUGGAUCAGGACAUCCUAAUGGUGCAGCCGCUAUUAAGGGUUCGUUUGUUCAACGAUUAAAGUCCUACGUGAUCUG
rnacentral:rRNA from 1 species